CUUGAAUCUGUCUACACACUCAGUGGCUGCUCCUAAGUCUCUGUGUGGUGACCGACGUCGACCAGGGUUAGCAGAAGCUGUUGAGAACACAAGGAAGGAAGCUUCAGGGAGCUGACAGCCUGGGCGGCCAGUACACCUCACCUGAAAGAUGGGGCAUGGGCCAGAGCUUGGACACCAGAGUAAGCCCUGGCUUUGAAUCCUAGUUCUGUGACCUUGGUCAAGGAGAUUAAUGUUUAGUAGCUUUGGUUUCUUUAUCUGUAAAACAGGAAUCAGAGUGGUAGCGACACUGCAAGGCCCUUACAAGAGGAAGUCAGCAGCUUUAGAGUCCUUCCAGCUUUUGUUCUGAAUUUGCCUGGUAACUGGCUUUCUAGAAGAGCUCAUUGCUGGAUGGUUUGACUCCAUAGCACGCGAGGAGUUUCGGCACCUGCUACCAUCCUCAUUAUUCGUUCACAUGCUGGAUAGUCCAUGGAGUGGACAGGCAGCAAGAAGGAUAGCAGCAUGGAAGUAAAUUGUGGAUUUGUCAGCACCAGUGCUUUAUUUGGACAGUUUUGCUGGAACUCAGCUCCUUGUGACUGCACCAUUCAUGAGUGAGUUCACUCAACAAAUACUGACUGAGCACCUGGCAGGUGGCAGGCAUUGUUCUGUGAGCCAAGCAAAGUCCUUGCCGUUGCGGAUUUACCUUCUAGCAUGGAGAGAGAGAACAAACAGAUAAAUAUGCAAUAUGGCAGAGGGCAGUCCUCACUGGAGGGAGAGAUUAAGAAGGGUAGAGGGUAAGGAGUAUUGCAAAAGGGGUGUGCAGUGCUUCUGUCCAUGGGGUAGUCGGGGCAGGCAUUUCUGGUUAGGCACGGAGGCAGGAAGCUGGGCCGGGCUCUGAGGAGGACAUUCCAAGCAGGGAUGUAGCAAGUCCGAGGACCCCGAGGUGGGAGCUGACUUGGUCCUUUUGAAAAGCUUCAAGGACUGUGAUACCUGGGAAGCAGGGAGAGCUGGUGAGAAGUGAGUUCAGAGGCGGCAGGAGGUGGGCAGACCACCCUGGCCAUUAGUAAAAAGAAAAAUGAUGAACAAAGUGAUAACAGGUGGAAGGUUGAUUCACCAAAGCAGGAUUGCUGCUGCAUAGAACGUUGAACACAGUACUGAAAAGAGCUCAACUCGGAAAGGUCAAUUUGCAAACAGCAUGUAGUUUUCAAGAUGGCAUCUCCAGUCUUAACCCAAGGGAUUGUGCUAGCUGGCAGGACGUGUGGGCAAGAGUCUUUGCUUGUUGGUCUUCUCAGUUGCAUCUUCCUAUGAAGCUAUCAGUAACACCAUUUUUUGGAGAUGAAGGCUGAAAUCUUAACAGUAAGUAUUGCACUG
rnacentral:lncRNA from 10 species